UACGGAGGGUGCGAGCGUUGUCCGGAAUCACUGGGCGUAAAGGGCGCGUAGGCGGCGCGGAUAGUCGGCGGUGAAAGCCCGGAGCUCAACUCCGGGUCGGCCGUCGAUACUUCCGGGCUUGAGCACUGUAGAGGCAGAUGGAAUUCCGGGUGUAGCGGUGAAAUGCGUAGAUAUCAGGAGGAACACCUGUGGCGAAAGCGGCUCACUGGACCACAACUGACGCUGAUGCACGAAAGCUAGGGGAGCAAACAGG
rnacentral:rRNA from 1 species